AGCUGGUCCAAGUACACUGGUGUUUACAACUAAUUGAUCACAAUCAGUUACAGACUUCUUUGUUCCUUCUCCAUUCCCACUGCUUGACUUGACUAGCCUAAA
ensembl:misc_RNA Y_RNA Y RNA